rnacentral:rRNA from 1 species
UACGGAGGGGGCUAGCGUUGUUCGGAAUUACUGGGCGUAAAGCGCACGUAGGCGGCUUUGUAAGUUAGAGGUGAAAGCCCAGGGCUUAACCCUGGAAUUGCCUUUAAGACUGCAUCGCUAGAAUCGUGGAGAGGUGAGUGGAAUUCCGAGUGUAGAGGUGAAAUUCGUAGAUAUUCGGAAGAACACCAGUGGCGAAGGCGACUCACUGGCCCGAUACUGACGCUGAGGCGCGAAAGCGUGGGGAGCAAACAGG